GGCCGACUGGCGAAAUGGCAUCGCGUCUGACUACGAUUACGUAUGCAGCGUUUCGGAAAUCAGGAGAUUGCAGGUUCGAGACCUGCGUCGGUCA
rfam:Postia placenta Mad-698-R POSPLscaffold_98_Cont4584, whole genome shotgun sequence.